rnacentral:rRNA from 1 species
UCUUCCACAAUGGACGCAAGUCUGAUGGAGCAACGCCGCGUGAGUGAAGGAGGCGUUCGGGUCGUAAAACUCUGUUGUUGGAGAAGAAUGGUCGGCAGAGUAACUGUUGUCGGCGUGACGGUAUCCAACUAGAAAGCCACGGCUAACUACGUGCCAGCAGCCGCGGUAAUACGUAGGUGGCAACCGUUAUCCGGAUUUAUUGGGCGUAAAGCGAGCGCAGGCGGUUUUUUUAAGUCGGAUGUGAAAGCCCUCGGCUUAACCGAGGAAGCGCAUCGGAAACUGGGAAACUUGAGUGCAGAAGAGGACAGUGGAACUCCAUGUGUAGCGGUGAAAUGCGUAGAUAUAUGGAAGAACACCAGUGGCGAAGGCGGCUGUCUGGUCUGUAACUGACGCUGAGGCUCGAAAGCAUGGGUAGCGAACAGG